GCGGUGAUCCAGUGAUUUGUAAUGGUUUUUUGCAUAAAUUUCAGCCCAGACCUUGUUAAAAUCUGCUCGACACCUGGUCCACUCUUCUUGUUUCUGUUUUAAGCGAGUUAAUAUAACAGGUAGUGCAAGAGAUGGGUUUUUACGCAAUAUGUCCAUGACAUCAAGACCAUGGUCACCAUAUAAACGCUCGAUGCACCUUAAAUUUAGAGCAGUAAAAUGGUCUUCGAUAUGGAUUGGAGUGUCUAUUUUAUUUUCAUUGAUGCUGUUCAACAACUCCUCUGCACGUAUAGCUGUGGAGGUCACAGACUCCAACAACAUGUCCAGCUCAAAUCUAUCAUCUUCACAUCUGAAC
rnacentral:misc_RNA from 1 species